AUUGAACGCUGGCGGCAUGCUUUACACAUGCCAGUCGAACGGCAGCGCGGGCUUCGGCCUGGCGGCGAGUGGCGAACGGGUGAGUAAUGCAUCGGAACGUGCCCAGUAGUGGGGGAUAGCCCGGCGAAAGCCGGAUUAAUACCGCAUACGACCUGAGGGUGAAAGCGGGGGACCGAAAGGCCUCGCGCUAUUGGAGCGGCCGAUGUCGGAUUAGCUAGUUGGUGGGGUAAAGGCUUACCAAGGCGACGAUCCGUAGCUGGUCUGAGAGGACGACCAGCCACACUGGGACUGAGGCACGGCCCAGACUCCUACGGGAAGCAGCAGUGGGGAAUUUUGGACAAUGGGGGCAACCCUGAUCCAGCCAUGCCGCGUGGGGGAAGAAGGCCUUCGGGUUGUAAACCGCUUUUGUUCGGGAAGAAAUCCUCUGGGCUAAAACCCCGGGGGGAUGACGGUACCGGAAGAAUAAGCACCGGCUAACUACGUG
rnacentral:rRNA from 1 species